rnacentral:rRNA from 1 species
UUUUGAAAGGGAAACGAUUGAAGUCAGUCAUGCCGGUGGGAAUCAACUUAGGGGAAACUCUGGGUGCACUUCUUCGCUUGGCAGGUCAACGUCGAUUUUGAAUGUCAUAAAAUAAUUGGGGGAAGGUAGCUCCUUCGGGAGUGUUAUAGCCCUUGAUAGAUGUGAUGUUUGGGGUCGAGGAUUGCAACGGAUACCCUUCGGGGCUAGCCGCCUGAUCUCUAAUUGGUGUUGGGUUACGGAUAGCAUGCUGACCGUGAUCUAAUUACUGGUUAAAAGGUUAGAGCGUGCAUAAAUUCGUUAAGGAUGUUGACGUAA